rnacentral:lncRNA from 1 species
UCGUUAGGAACUAGUUGUUCAAUGACAUAUAAUUUUCUUUCUUGUUUGAGGACAAUCCUCAAGUUAUGGAACCAAUCAAGAAAAUUUAAACCAUUCAACUUGUCCUUCUCAAGGAACGAUCAUAAUAAGAUUGUAUUAGUGUUUGCAGCCAUAAUAUAUCUACAAUAAUAAAAUUAUGCGUGUGAAAAUUUAUCAAAUUUA